rnacentral:rRNA from 1 species
CUACCCACUCCUACGGGAGGCAGCAGUGGGGAAUAUUGCACAAUGGGCGCAAGCCUGAUGCAGCCAUGCCGCGUGUAUGAAGAAGGCCUUCGGGUUGUAAAGUACUUUCAGCAGUGAGGAAGGUGGAUAUGUUAAUAGCAUAUUCAUUUGACGUUAGCUGCAGAAGAAGCACCGGCUAACUCCGUGCCAGCAGCCGCGGUAAUACGGAGGGUGCGAGCGUUAAUCGGAAUUACUGGGCGUAAAGCGCAUGCAGGUGGUUUGUUAAGUCAGAUGUGAAAGCCCGGGGCUCAACCUCGGAAUUGCAUUUGAAACUGGCAAACUAGAGUACUGUAGAGGGGGUAGAAUUUCAGGUGUAGCGGUGAAAUGCGUAGAGAUCUGAAGGAAUACCGGUGGCGAAGGCGGCCCCCUGGACAGAUACUGACACUCAGAUGCGAAAGCGUGGGGAGCAAACAGGAUUAGAUACCCUGGUAG